ACUCCGGUUGAUCCUGCCGGAGGCCAUUGCUAUUGGAGUCCGAUUUAGCCAUGCUAGUUGCAC
rnacentral:rRNA from 1 species